UACGUAGGUGGCAAGCGUUGUCCGGAUUUAUUGGGCGUAAAGCGAGCGCAGGUGGUUUCUUAAGUCUGAUGUGAAAGCCCCCGGCUCAACCGGGGAGGGUCAUUGGAAACUGGGAGACUUGAGUGCAGAAGAGGAAAGUGGAAUUCCAUGUGUAGCGGUGAAAUGCGUAGAUAUAUGGAGGAACACCAGUGGCGAAGGCGACUUUCUGGCCUAUAACUGACGCUGAGGCGCGAAAGCGUGGGGAGCAAACAGG
rnacentral:rRNA from 1 species